rnacentral:rRNA from 1 species
GAUGAACGCUGGCGGCGUGCCUAAUACAUGCAAGUCGAGCGAACAGACGAGGAGCUUGCUCCUUUGACGUUAGCGGCGGACAGGUGAGUAACACGUGGGUAACCUACCUAUAAGACUGGGAUAACUUCGGGAAACCGGAGCUAAUACCGGAUAAUAUUUCGAACCGCAUGGUUCGAUAGUGAAAGAUGGCUUUGCUAUCACUUAUAGAUGGACCUGCGCCGUAUUAGCUAGUUGGUAAGGUAACGGCUUACCAAGGCAACGAUACGUAGCCGACCUGAGAGGGUGAUCGGCCACACUGGAACUGAGACACGGUCCAGACUCCUACGGGAGGCAGCAGUAGGGAAUCUUCCGCAAUGGGCGAAAGCCUGACGGAGCAACGCCGCGUGAGUGAUGAAGGUCUUCGGAUCGUAAAACUCUGUUAUUAGGGAAGAACAAACGUGUAAGUAACUGUGCACGUCUUGACGGUACCUAAUCAGAAAGCCACGGCUAACUACGUG